UGCGUAGGUGGUCAGGUAAGUCGGAUGUGAAAUCUCGGAGCUCAACUCCGAAACGGCAUUGGAAACUACCUGGCUGGAGGAAUGGAGGGGGGACUGGAAUUCUUGGUGUAGCAGUGAAAUGCGUAGAUAUCAAGAGGAACACCAGUGGCGAAGGCAGCCCCCUGGGACGUCACUGACGCUCAUGCACGAAAGCGUGGGGAGCAAACA
rnacentral:rRNA from 1 species